rnacentral:lncRNA from 10 species
AGAGGAAGAGGAAGAAGAGGAGGAAGAGGAAGAAGAAGAGGAAGAAGAAAAGAAGAAGGAGGAGGAGGGAAAGUAGGGAGAGGAGGAGGAGGAGAAAAAAGAGAAAAAGAAAGAAAAAAAGAAAUAAGAAAAAAAGAGGAAGAAAAAUAAAAGCAGAAAAGAAAUGUCUCCAUUUACCUGUUCACAGCCACAAGAAAAACAUUCUUCUAUACUGCAACUGGGUGAAACUUACCUGAUUAGUACAGCCAAGAUUGUCUUAUCCAGGUUAGGCAAAACUGAACAAGUAGAACUCCUCCUUUGCGAAAUGUUUUGCUACUGA